CAGCGGUGGGCACUGACCCUCCCCGACCCCACAGCAGCCCUAUGUGCCCCCGGCACAGCCCCUGGGCCCCCCCAGCCCCAGCCCCGCCGGGGGGGCCCCGGACCAGCUCAGCAAGACCAACCUCUACAUCCGGGGGCUGCACCCCGGCACCACGGACCAGGACCUGGUCAAGCUCUGCCAGCCCUACGGGAAGAUCGUCUCCACCAAAGCCAUCCUGGACAAGACGACCAACAAGUGCAAAGGCUACGGCUUCGUGGACUUUGACAGCCCCACGGCGGCCCAGAAGGCCGUGACGGCGCUCAAGGCCAGCGGGGUGCAGGCGCAGAUGGCCAAGCAACAGGAGCAGGACCCCACCAACCUGUACAUCUCGAACCUGCC